UACGGGAGGCACCAGUGGGGAAUAUUGGACAAUGGGGCCAACCCUGAUCCACCAAUGCCGCGUGAGUGAUAAAGCCUUUCGGGUUGUAAAGCACUUUCAGUAGGGAGGAAAGGGUAAUGGCUAAUAUCCAUUAUCAUUGACGUUACCUACAGAAGCAGCACCGGCUAACUUCGUGCCAGCAGCCGCGGUAAUACGAAGGGUGCAAGCGUUAAUCGGAAUUAC
rnacentral:rRNA from 1 species